UAUUUUUUUUUACAUUAUUUCUAUUUGCUAGUCCACUUAAGGGAGGAGAAGUUUCUCCACGUUUCUUCAUUGUUCCACCAUUUCUACUCAUUUUUCUCCCUAUCUUUCACCAUUUUUCAUCAUUUCUUUAUAAAAUCUUCAUCUUAAAACCUUGAUUGAGCCAUUUCCCUUAGCAUCUUUAUCACCCAAUAAGUUAGGGUUUGAAUCUUAAAGAGAGAGCUUAAUAGGAGUUAUAAAUUGGUUAUUCAAGAAAUUGAAGAGGAAGAAAGGGAAACUAGCACAGGGAAAGAAAUGUCAGUGGAUUGAGGUGAAAGAGAGUUCUCCUUAUUUUUGAGACUUUUUGUGUUGUUGAGCUCGAGGACUCAUAAGGACUGGAAGACGAUUGGAGAGUCGACACACUAUCAACUAGUCACGCUUUGGUAUAAAGACAUUUUUAUUUGUUCAAUGGCAUGUAUAGGAUUUUUGAGUAUUUUGUUAUAUGUGUCAUUUGAUUUGCCAAAUGAAGGCAUGUAAAAAUAUGUUUAUCUUUUUGUAUAUGGCCAUGAAAAUUGGCUUAAUUGAA